UAGAGUUUGAUCCUGGCUCAGAUUGAACGCUGGCGGCAUGCCUUACACAUGCAAGUCGAACGGCAGCACGGGGGCAACCCUGAUGGCGAGUGGCGAACGGGUGAGUAAUACAUCGGAACGUGUCCUGUAGUGGGGGAUAGCCCGGCGAAAGCCGGAUUAAUACCGCAUACGCUCUACGGAGGAAAGGGGGGGAUCUUAGGACCUCCCGCUACAGGGGCGGCCGAUGGCAGAUUAGCUAGUUGGUGGGGUAAAGGCCUACCAAGGCGACGAUCUGUAGCUGGUCUGAGAGGACGACCAGCCACACUGGGACUGAGACACGGCCCAGACUCCUACGGGAGGCAGCAGUGGGGAAUUUUGGACAAUGGGGGCAACCCUGAUCCAGCAAUGCCGCGUGUGUGAAGAAGGCCUUCGGGUUGUAAAGCACUUUUGUCCGGAAAGAAAACGUCGUGGUUAAUACCCGUGGCGGCUGACGGUACCGGAAGAAUAAGCACCGGCUAACUACGUGCCAGCAGCCGCGGUAAUACGUAGGGUGCAAGCGUUAAUCGGAAUUACUGGGCGUAAAGCGUGCGCAGGCGGUCCGCUAAGACAGAUGUGAAAUCCCCGGGCUUAACCUGGGAACUGCAUUCGUGACUGGCGGGCUAGAGUAUGGCAGAGGGGGGUAGAAUUCCACGUGUAGCAGUGAAAUGCGUAGAGAUGUGGAGGAAUACCGAUGGCGAAGGCAGCCCCCUGGGCCAAUACUGACGCUCAUGCACGAAAGCGUGGGGAGCAAACAGGAUUAGAUACCCUGGUAGUCCACGCCCUAAACGAUGUCAACUAGUUGUCGGGUCUUCAUUGACUUGGUAACGUAGCUAACGCGUGAAGUUGACCGCCUGGGGAGUACGGUCGCAAGAUUAAAACUCAAAGG
rnacentral:rRNA from 1 species